GUCUAAACCCCAGGGUCAGGCAGGCUGUAUUUGACCCGAGGGUACCAUUUCUGAUGCUGGAGUUCUUUUGAAGAAACUAAGAGCUGUGGCAGAAUAAGCUAGUAGAUGAGGAUAGGGUGAAUAAAGCACAAGUACCAACUGGUUUUACUGAGGCUGAAUUGGGGAAGAGGAUCCAGGAUCCUGAGAUGAAGUCUGGAGAAGGGAGACGCUCUUAGAUGAGCAGUCAUUGUAUCUCUGAGCUUUUGAUUUUCGUGUUUGCUCCUUCUACCUGGAGUCUCUGGGAGGCAAGGAAGGAUGAAGAUCUAAAGGUUUACAUACAGAUUCUGAACUGGAAGAGAGGGCAAAGAGCAAAAGCUUGUGUUCAAAGGAUUCAUGUUUGCCUAUUUAAGGUCCCUACGGGAGUAUCAUUGCCACAGGAAUGGGUGCCACAUUUUAUGAAGCUAGAGACCACACUGCAAAGAAAAUGCCCGAAAGCAGUCAUUUCUCCGGCCUGGAAUUAAAAGUGACCCCCUUUCAUAUUUCCUUGGGCUCUGCAGGCCGAAGUGGAGACCCUAUUUGCCAAGUCUCAGCCACAGUUAAUUUACUUUCGUUUUAUUUUUCCUUACUCCUGAAUUGAAUUAUCACCUUCCUGAAGAGCCGUGUGUGUAAUGGAAAAGCUGACACCAGCCAAAGUGGAGUAUUGCAGCCCAAAUGAGGCUCCUAUUAUUGCCCUGUUACGGGAGGAACGGGCUUCUGUUUGCCCUUCAUUCAUCACCUGCUGACUGUGAAACCAAGUCGAGCUGCUUUGUUUUAAUGGCAGUUGUUCUGCCCUGACCUAUGCUGCUCGCCCACCCUGCUCCAGGAGCAAACAGAUGAGUUCCAUUUGGAGCUGAACUUACUGUGCAUGAAAAUCACGAGGGCAACGAGAUUUUUUCUUCGCCUUCAUGCAACGGGGAGCAUUAAGCACUGCAUUCUGUCCCUUGAAGUCCAGAACAGGACACCUGGCUAACGGGCACCCUAUGAGACCAUCUUAUCACACUUUUCAGACCGAAGGACCUCAGCUUUGUGCUGUCCCUCCUGCUAAGGCCUUUAAAGAUCCCUCCUAAGGUUUCCAUACGCAAGUGUGUUAAAAAUAUAUCCGAGGAAAUGAUUUUCAUAGUGGAUGUUUCCUGGCUUGUGUCACACACUAUAUAUACUUCCAAUUAGGACUAUUUAUUCCUCCCUCCACCAUGCCCCGAAGCAAGGUCCAUUUGUGAAAUCUAAUUAAACCUGCUUAUUUCCUUGGAAUGAAGGACAUUUUUAGAUCUUUCACUAGGCACGCUCCUCCUGUCUGGAAGAAUUUUGUUUGUUGGUGCGUUUUAGUCUUUCUGGGGGAGGAGGGAUAGUUUUUGUUAGUUUUUCUGAGAACCCAAAAUGAUUGGAGACCUUUUAUUUACUUAUUUUUUAAACACCAGUUUCCACAGGACACUGUGAAGGAGCCAGUGCAGACUCCCUUUAGUGAAGCUCUUUCCUUGGGUUCUAAAAGCUCCUUUGUUCUCAAUUCCCAUUACUUUUCUCUCUGACUGUGGAUGGUCUCCCCUCUCCCCACAGAGCUGAGAGUUCAUGGCUGUUUCUAAUCCAUAAUUAGCUGAAAUAGAAAAAUACUCUCCUUGAGGUAAUAAUUCUCCUGCAUUUGCCGCUCUUCGCCCAUCACAAUGCAAAACAGAACAUUCUCAGACCAUGUAUGAUCACUGACAUUGCCACAGGCACCAAAAAAUUUAUUUUUUUAAGCAGCUUUGCUAAGAUGGGGCUGUCCUUGGCCUCAUAUCUGUGGUGAAUCUAAAGGAGUCAGUGAAAGCAGAAAGGAGGCAAAUAAAAUGCAGAUUGACUCUGGGAAACAUCCAUUUCAUUGGCUCUGCUUACUGGAGAAGUGGCCCAUGGAAGAUUAUGUCACCUUUUGCACCAAGUUAACGCGGCUGUUUGUCAAGUGAGACGAGAAUUCUUUGUAUUUGUAUUCUUACCUAGCUCACAUUUUUAACGAUGUCUCUUCUCCAUUUCUCAUCCAGACAUUUUUCCCUAUCUGCUUUCAAUGCUAAUGUGUCCCUGUCCUGUUUUUCAAAUUAAAUACCACACUUAAAAUAUUAAUACCCCUUGCUCUUUGAUUCUUUGUUUAUUCAUCUUAUGCAAAACACAACAGUGAGCUUCCAUCUGUAUUAAAUGCUACUGUAUGGGCCAAUUCAAUGACUUAUUAAUGACUGUUCCAUGAUAUGGAGGGCUAGGCUUUAUAUAAUCAUGCAAUUCUUAUUCAGAAAUGCUCCGCUA
ensembl:lncRNA